ACAUUCCCUUCUGUCCCUGCCAUGCAGAGUCACCACGGGCAGCACACUGCUGUCACUGCACCAUGUCUCUGACUCUGAGCCUGGGACCCUGCUGCUCAGAACAGGGUUAGGUGCUCUGCAAGUCAGCUGUGGCCACCCGCCAAGCUCAGCGUGUGAGGACAGUGGCCACCUUCCUCUACUGGCCAGGGCCAUGGGACACUGCCCCUGAAGGCAGGGAUAUAAAGGGACACUCUGAGACCUACCCUCUCUGAACUGCUGAGACAGGGAGCCACAGUCCAGACACCCACUGUCUCUUGGUCUCCUCACCUUCCCACAGUUACCCCGCCAAGGAAAAGAAGAAGCCUUUCCCACAGCGCAGCCUCCCUGUAUGGAGUCCAGUUAGAGACUGCAUUCAGGAGGACAAGGGCUCUCUGCCAACUGGGACUGCGUUUCAUGGAGGGCCCAUCCUGCCCCAGGAACCCUCCAUUUCAGUCCCGCAGAGGGUUGACAGUUAAGUGACACUCUGCCCCUCCAGAGUCAAUCUUGGAGCCUUCCUUAGAGGUACAGUGCCCAGCACUGGUCUCCUGCCAUUGCCAGCCUCAGGCUCUCAGUCCUGUCCAACCCGCCUGCCACUCUUGCCCCACUCCUGCCCCACCCCGUCUUCUGCACACAGUGGCCUGGCAGGACUUUGAAUACCUGAGAACAUCCCACCUUGACAAGAUACUUGGAAAUCUUUCAGGUCGAUUGCACCCCAAAGGAAGGCCUCAGUGGGUGAUGCCUGCCAGAGGGAAGCAUCAUCAAGCUCUUUGAUUGGGUCUAGAAAAGCCUUAAGGCUGUUGGCUUUGUGCAAACGGUAAGAGAGAGCGUUUUCAGGCAAGCAGAUUCCAGACCGAAAUAGGAAAGAUUCGGGGAAGUUAUCCAUAGUGACAAAAUAAAACAUCACAUUCAAACCAUACCAAUAACUAACUAAAGAAAUAGAAUUUCUUUGUUUGUUUUUCAAGGCAAGGUUUCUCUGUGUAGCCCAGGCUGUCCUGGGACUCUCUCUGUAGGCCAGGCUGACCUUGAACUUGAAGAGAUCCAUCUGCCUCUGCCUCCCAAAUGCUGGGAUUAAAGGCAUGUGCCGCCACCCUAGCACUUCUACUAUAUUUAACAUAAAUUCUCCUAAGUACCAGUGCACAUCCUGGGAUAUGAGAGCUUUUAGUAGGUAGGUUCCCCUAGUGUCAGUGGUGGUGAUGACCCUGGAGGGCAGGGAUGAUAGUUUGUAAAUAUUCAGUACCUCAGUUGCUUACUCGCACUGAGGGCCCUGGGUAUGUGUUUAUGGGGAGGGAAUAGAGUGGCACUUGGCCACAGGAGCCUCAACUGGGUGACUGCUGGGCUACUGUCUCACUUCAGGAUCCCAUGCCUUUCUUAGGUUCUAGAAGAAUUCCCCAAAAUGGUCUGACUGCAGACCCCGACUUAAGGCCCCAAGACAAGGCCUCACUCCCAGGCUGGAGCCAGCAGACUGCCGUAUUUGGGAUGGCCCUUGACCCUGAGAAGGGCCUUGGCUCCCUCCCACCAGACUAGCAGCAGUCAAAUGCUCAAGUUUUUCACACAUUGGAGUGGUCCUGAGCUCUAAAUUUAGAAAUUUUGUAAUCUAAAGCUUGUUACAGCUUGAAAGUCAUUCACACAAACAAUCAGAAAUAAGAUAAACUGGGAGCAGGCAUCUGGUUUUAUUCUUUUAACAUUAUUUUAACCUUUUACAUUGAUUGUGUGUGUGCCACGGCACACAUGUGGAGGUCACAGGACAACUUUUGGGAGUUGGUUCUCUCCUUACACCGUGUGGGUCCUGGGGAUUAAAUUGAGGUGGUCAGACUUGGCAGCAGGUGCUCCUCCCCACAGGGCCAUGUCACCAGUCUCUCUCUUAACAACUUUUAAAAUAAUCAAACCAUGGCUCAGUCUGCUCCUGCUCUCUAAGCUGGAGCUCCGUCUCUUAUGCGAUAGGAGGCCUAGACUAGUUUCCCUCUCUGCGAGAGGCUUGGCUUGGUCAAGUAUUUGCUGGACUUUUUCUGCUUAAAAAAACAAGGCACUCUCCCCGUUAAACCAGCCCCUCAGCUAGUUCACUGUAUCUUCCUCUUGGUGCACACCAAAUGCAGCAGACACCGAUGCACUCCAAACUCCUAGAAGACUGGCAGAAGUCCCCUGGAGUCCUUACAGCUUUAUUCGUGUGAGACUAGGGCUCAGUCCUGGCUCACAGAGAUAGGUUUUAACAAGUCUGCACAGAUAUGCCAAGCCAGUGAGCCUUCACACACACACACACACACACACACACACACACACACACACACACACACACACACACACAAGCACAGGGACUUCUGCUUCCAUCCCUUGCCCUGGACACAGUGAAGAAGUGGGAAGAAAAUCUUUCCACGUAGAGAAUACUGUACUGGGGACAGUGUUCUCCCUGGGCGACAGGGCUGAUGGGAAGGAGGGAGCUAGGUCCCCCUGCUGUCACCUUCCUAGGGCCUUGCUGUGUAGCCCAAGCUGGCCUCGAAAUCCCAGCAGUUCCUUUUUUUGCUCAGCCUCUGGAGUGAUGCGAUGACAGGCCAGUCAUUUACAGCCCACACCACGGCACAUCACUGAGAUCCACUUAGGGUUUCAUUAUCAAAAUUGAGCGCUGAAUGGAGCCGUCAGGGGCUGUCUCUUCUAGUCCCCCCAGUCUGGCUGUUACACUCCUGUUCUGACAGCGGAUGUUUGGGGAGCCAUUUGCCAACACAUUCAGCUCAGUUCUUAGGGGAAGCACCUUCCUUUCCUCUCUCAGUGCCAGGAAUCGAACACAUGGAGUCUCACGUGCUAAGCAAGCUGCAUUUCCCACCUUCUCACUUGCUGUUCGUCAAUUUUCAUAAUAUCCAACUUACUUCAUUUCAGAGCAGUGGGCACAUCUGAGUCAGUGAGGCUUGGGCACAGGCGCAGCCAUCUCUCAGUGAGACCUGACGUGCAGAGAACCAGCUGCCUGGGCCAGCUCAGCAGCCAUAGGCCACCAUCAGACUUUAUCGGCUACCCAUUUUAGCAAGUGAGGGUAGAUGAGAGUAUCCCCAUGGGAGGUACAAUGGACAGGAGAAUGGAAAAAGUUGCUCAGGCUGGGACAGUCAAGAGAGACAUCACCAGUAAAACUUGUUCAAGCAAAGCAGUAGCAACUCUUCACUAGCUCUGAGUGUCACAACUGCUUAAUUCCUGGCACUGCGCAUGCUGAGAGUCCAGCAGCCCCCACCCAGAGAGUACAAGAUGUUUGAUCGUAGCAACUGAACAGGACAGUAUCCCAGAGCCAGUACCCUGUUGGGAUCUUCCUCCCUUCUCUCGGUUUAGUGUUUAACACUGUGUGGCCCCUCGUCCCACUCCCAGUCCCUGUGUAGAUGAGAGUUUCCCUAGAGGGACACCAAUAGCAGUGCACGGGUGCCUGGGGGCAGGCCACCCACAGAGUCGGAAAGACAGACAUCAAAGCCUGACGAACGGCAAAACCUGUGAAUUCAAGGGGAAACUGACCUCUGAUACACUUACGGCUCUUGCACUCAUGUGAACUCACAAGGAAACUGAUCUCUGAUACACUUACGGCUCUUGCACUCAUGUGAACUCACAAGGAAACUGAUCUCUGAUACACUUACGGCUCUUGCACUCACAGUUCACCCAAUUCUGGAGCUGAGAAGAAUGUCAGAGGUCUUGCUGACUAACGUCUUCGUCGCACAGAUGAAGGCAGCAUCCAAAGCUGCCAGUGACUGAGGAUACCUUGACUCCGUCUGUUGAUAAUCCAUCUAGAGAAGGCCCCUUCAGCCCACCUGCCUGGUGGGAGAUCUGAGCCUCUUCACAGGGGAGGUGGCACGCUAAUCACUGGAGGAGGGCCUGUCCAACCUAUCAUGAGAUCCCUCCAAAGCUGAAGGCCCAGGGCUAAGUCAUCUUGUGGCUGAGAUUCAGACCACAUAUGUAAGAACGGAGCCAUCAGCAUCAGGAAAUUCAAGAGCAGUCACUGUUCUGCUCUAACUGGGAGCAAUGAGCCAGAUCUUCCUGAGUUAAAGAGCUGAAGGUCCAGUGGUUGUUCCACAGGAAGAGGCCAGCUGCCGACGGGCAGGUGGCAACAGGAGGGUAGCGGCUGGAGUCAUACACGAGUGCACGGUGUCCUCUCCUGGGGCCAUGUCUUUUCAUUCCGCCCCCAGUUUGGAAUGGUGGGACACAUAAAAACUGAACAAACAAGGAGCAAUCUAAAGUCCUGGCGUGAGAGUGCUCCUUACUCCCCAAGACGCUCCCUCCGAUGCUGUACUCGAGCCUGGGAGACUGGGGUGAGGAUGAUGACGGUCUGGUCGACAGUGGAGGGAGACACUGUCAUCAGUUAGGACCUGGUAAAAUGAGGUCCAGUUAGAAUGAAGAGCCCCUCUGUAGGGUUUUUGUUUCUUUGCAAUUCUAACUCCAGUCAAAUUUUAUCUUCGAGAAUCUAAGCCAACAGGUUUAGGAUAAACCAAAGGUCACGAAAACACAUCUUCCAUUGAUUCGAUCAUUGUCUUCUUUAUCUUCAUUGAUCUUGACGAGCAUUUCAUAAAACCAUCAGCUUGUUCAUUAAAAGAUUUGGAAAGCCUUACAGGGUCUAAUAGUGUUAACACUUUAAAAUCUUAGAGUCGCUGAGCCAGACGGAGCGGCCUGCGGGAUAGCGUCGCAAAGCUGGUGGUCCUGAGGCAGCCCAUGAUACUUCCGGUUCCUGUUCCUAGCCGGGGCACUUCCGCCCGUGCGGCUGGUCGGCAUGGAGGCCAGCUGGUCUUCCCCGGUGGGCCCCGUUGACGCCGCAGACCCGCAGCUGCAGCGUUUCGUGGAGGUGGAGACGCAGAAACAGCGCGUGCAGCUGCUGGUCCACCACAUGACGGAGCUGUGCUGGGAGAAGUGCAUGGACAAGCCCGGGCCCAAGCUGGACGGCCGGGCCGAGGUCUGCCUGGUGAACUGCGUCGAGCGCUUCAUCGAUACGAGCCAGUUCAUCUUGAAUCGACUGGAGCAGAUCCAGAAAGCCAGACCGUUCUUCUCUGAAAGCCUCUCUGACUGAUCUCGGCCUUUCUCUCCUUGGAAAAGGAAGAUCCAGACAUGAACUCUCAGCUACUGCUCCAGUGCAUGCCUGCCUGCCUGCUGCCAUGCUCCCUGUCAUGGACUUCAACCCUCUGAAACUGUAAACCCCAAGUAUUCGCUCGGUUAUCCUGGUCAUGGUGUCUCAUCACAGCAAUAGAAAAGUAACUAAGACAAAGGUUGUUGCUGUGCUUUGUCGGAGACCACCUACUCGCUGGACUUUGUGUCCCACUUCUCCUCCUUCACAAGUUUGUUUCUUAAGGACAGUAGCUCCAUAAACCGCAUGUACCCACACCCCUGGGACCCCUGUAAAAUCUGUUUGAAUAUGUUAUGGCUUUAAUGUCUCCACUAGCACAUGCCAAAAAGGAGUUGCUUUUGUUACAGAAUUAAGAGGUAGACUGUUUAAGGGGCAAUUGAAUCACAAGACCUCUGUCCUUUAUGCCUGGCGUGGGUUAUAUUGGGGGAGUGGACCCCACUCUUCCUUCCCUGUCUCAUUUUGUUUCUCUUCUGUCAUGAUAUAGCAGAACAUGGAGACCCUGCACAGAUGCCUGACACCUGUUCUGGACCUCCCAGGUGCAAGAAUGCUUCUCCGAAUUGACAAAUGCAGUUUGCAGCAUAGAGGAAAAUCACAUUCCUCAGGUUUUGCUCCAGCCAGAGUUAUCAGCAGUGUGAGGAAAAGAGAGCAUCGCCGUCCGUGGGGAAAAAGCAGAGGAAAGUUCCCUUUUUUCUAGCUUGGAAGAGAACUCUCCACUCCUUUUGCGUUUCUGCCCAUCAGCGCUCACCAACCAGGAGCUCCCCAGCCCUGGAUCGUCCCGCCAUCCAGGUAACCUAGGGAACCGCAGGUGGAGCGUUAUACAGAAGAGACCGGAUCCGGAAGUAGAGGUCUACCAACCAAAAAGCGGCUAAGCGCGAUGACGUGUCGAAAUAGGCGUUGGCGUACCGGCUCUGCGAACGCCCUGUUCCCCGCUGCGCUCCGGGCGAGUCCUCUGUCAGGAAUCCCGACACCGUUUUCGUUCUCAGAGACUCGUUUGUCCGGGUGUUGUUGUUGUUGUUUACUUUGCCCAGAGUACGACAGUGGCUGGAGGAAAACACCUACGGGUCCCCGUGGGUUCAGCAUUACCGAGUCGUCCAGGUCACCGUGGAAGCCGUUCUCGGUUUUGCUCUGUGAAAGAGGGCGGGUGAAAUGCAUCUGGAAAACCUCAAGCUUUAGCGCCCCAAGUCUGCGAGUCUAAAUUCAGAUCCAGGACGUGUGUCCUCCGGCGACCAGCGCCGUGCACCUUAGUUUGCUUGUCCCGGGUUAUAGAGGCUGCUAUAGAAGAUGCAGAGACCAGGCAACAAACAGUGAACAAAUAAACACAGUUCCAAAAGUGGUAGAUACCGUGGGGCACCCGUGGAACUGAGGAACAUCCACAUUGUACAUUGUCCCUCUCACACAAGUAGAAGCAGAGACGACCAGCACAGUGGCCUGGGGGUAGUUCUGCGCUUGGAGACCACGAAGAGGACUCAGUCCAUAGUUGGGUGGCCCCGUGGACAGCAUGUGGGCUGUAGGGAACGAGGUUUGAGGCAAGGGUGCUGUUAUCUGAGGUAGAAAAAAGUCAUGACAAGGUCGGAGGCUGCGACAGUGAAGGUCAAGUCUGGUAGUGUCAGAAAAAUAAGUAUCUGUAGACAACAGCCGCUGCUUCUCUCCACAAUGGGAGUUGUCAUGACCUGCCCAGCCCAAGUUUCAGUGUGUUGACGUGUCUGAGAGGGGGGGGGUGUGGACACACUUCACCGUUCCUUGUGUUACACAAAUGGUCAGCAUCUGGGAGAACUACUAUAUUCCACAGGUCUGGAGGAAGAGGAGCAUCCUCUUGUUCCCUUCUGCCUUGACGAACUCACGUGCCUUCAGGGGUCACAUAGCUAGAUUGCGGCGUUCCAAAGCUGGAGCGCUCUGCCGGGUACGUCAGGGGUUUUUCUGGUGCUAGAUCCCUUCGGGGAAAAUAUAUGAACACCCACAAGAAUUGUGAUAGCCCAUGGGACUCCAAACUUCUUAAUUUACCGACUUUCUGAACUUGCCCUUCCUUAAACUUGGUUACGGUCAUGCAGGGCUGUUAAUGUUUGUUUUAUACUCUAAAAGGAUGCACUCUAGGGAGGAAUUCGAUUGACGUCUAAAGCUCCACGGGGUGGUAGGGGUCCAUCGGCUUUUUAUGGUAAAAUUAUUUUUUACUCCUUGAGAAAAUAUUCGAACUUUCCUUCAUCCACCGUCUCGGUCUCCAUCAGUACUUGGUUCAUCAGUCCUGAGUUGAUUGGCGUGUAUGAGGAAGUUACUGGGAACACAAAGGCGGAGCGCUCGAGAAACAAGACGUUCCGGAGGGCCAGAGUGGACUCUGGACCCAGAC